rnacentral:rRNA from 1 species
AUUGAACGCUGGCGGCAUGCCUUACACAUGCAAGUCGAACGGCAGCACGGGGGCAACCCUGGUGGCGAGUGGCGAACGGGUGAGUAACAUAUCGGAACAUACCCUAGAGUGGGGGAUAACGUAGCGAAAGUUACGCUAAUACCGCAUACGAUCUAAGGAUGAAAGUGGGGGAUCUUCGGACCUCAUGCUCAUGGAGUGGCCGAUAUCUGAUUAGCUAGUUGGUGAGGUAAAGGCUCACCAAGGCGACGAUCAGUAGCUGGUUUGAGAGAACGACCAGCCACACUGGAACUGAGACACGGUCCAGACUCCUACGGGAGGCAGCAGUGGGGAAUUUUUGGGACAAUAGGGGCAACCCUGAUCCAGCAUGCCGCGUGAGUGAAGAAGGCC